rnacentral:lncRNA from 1 species
CGCCCUUGCGAGGCUGGGCGGAGGAGGGCUCUGAAGACUCUGUCGCGUUAAUGUUUCUGUCAUGCUUAAGAAACCGGCGAUAGCAGUCAAACGAGGGUUUCCUCGGAAACCGGGCGCUCUACGGGUUUGGGACUGGAGGUGAAGGAGAGGUGAGGCUCAGGCAGAACCUUCAGGUUAGCAGCCUUCCCUUAGCGAAGGGCGGGCCUCACUGCCCCUAACGUCACAGAAUGAAGAGCGUAGGACAGCGAAACCGCUGAGGCUAUGAGGAGGUGUAGAGGCUUUGGGGACAAGCAGGCCCACACCUUUCAUUUUCUCGUGGGGGUCACUGUCCCGAUAGACCUGACCGAGCCGUGUUUGAUGAAUGAUCGUUGGCUUUGAGCUAUCAGUACAUUUGCGUAGAAUUGUGGAUGUGAGUUCCUCUAAGGCAGUUUUGGUGAAAAAUCUUUUAGGAAGAUGGAUCUUUGCUUUGUUAAUUUUCAAUAUUAAAAACAGUUGGAGACUGGGGAUGUACCUCAGUGUAGAAUGCGUGCUUAGUACGCGCACAGCCCUGGCAGUACAC